UGAAAAGAGGACACUGCUGGAAAAGGAGUCCCAUGGAUGAGCCCAUAGUGGCACCUUGGCCAUGACAUCCACCAGAACUGAGGGAUCUUUGAAGCACACCUCCUAACUGCACUCCUAGGAGGAAACGGCCCCCAGAAUGGCACUGAUUCCAAUGAUGUCCCUGUUUUGCCCUGAUCACUCCAUCCAUAGCCACAGCACCCUGCUACCACAUCUCUUUUCAGAUCUGAAGAGCACAAGUC